AGUAAUGUCUGGGAAACUGCCUGAUGGAGGGGGAUAACUACUGGAAACGGUAGCUAAUACCGCAUAAUGUCGCAAGACCAAAGUGGGGGACCUUCGGGCCUCAUGCCAUCAGAUGUGCCCAGAUGGGAUUAGCUAGUAGGUGGGGUAACGGCUCACCUAGGCGACGAUCCCUAGCUGGUCUGAGAGGAUGACCAGCCACACUGGAACUGAGACACGGUCCAGACUCCUACGGGAGGCAGCAGUGGGGAAUAUUGCACAAUGGGCGCAAGCCUGAUGCAGCCAUGCCGCGUGUGUGAAGAAGGCCUUCGGGUUGUAAAGCACUUUCAGCGGGGAGGAAGGCGGUGAGGUUAAUAACCUUGUCGAUUGACGUUACCCGCAGAAGAAGCACCGGCUAACUCCGUGCCAGCAGCCGCGGUAAUACGGAGGGUGCAAGCGUUAAUCGGAAUUACUGGGCGUAAAGCGCACGCAGGCGGUCUGUCAAGUCGGAUGUGAAAUCCCCGGGCUCAACCUGGGAACUGCAUUCGAAACUGGCAGGCUAGAGUCUUGUAGAGGGGGGUAGAAUUCCAGGUGUAGCGGUGAAAUGCGUAGAGAUCUGGAGG
rnacentral:rRNA from 1 species